rnacentral:tRNA from 14 species
UGGACGUAGCCAAGUGGAUUAAGGCAGUGGAUUUGU